GCUAAUCACAGAAAACAAACAAACGAACAUAAUUAUUAAUUGAGCGACAGUGAACAAGAAUUCUAAUCUAUAUAUAUUCUUACAAUACGCUAAUAGAUUUCUAAACAGAAUUCAUCAUAUCAUCAUCUUCUUCUUCAUGAUCAGAAUUCAAUCAGCAGGGAUUCUCAUUUGAAGAAAUGAAGAACUGUGAAUCAAGCUUGGCCCUACAAACAGGACACACAGAAUUCUUCG
rnacentral:misc_RNA from 1 species